CUUUAAGGUAUAUAGUGGCUUUAAGGUAUAUAGUGGCUUUAAGGUAUAUAGUGGCUUUAAGGUAUAUAGUGGCUUUAAGGUAUAUAGUGGCUUUAAGGUAUAUAGUGGCUUUAAGGUAUAUAGUGGCUUUAAGGUAUAUAGUGGCUUUAAGGUAUAUAGUGGCCUUCAGAAAGCAUUCAGACCCCUGUCACUUUUUCCACAUUUUGUUACUCUAAAGCCUUAUUCUGAAAAUUGAUUAAAUUAAAAUUGUUCCUCAUUAAUCUAAAUACCCCAUAUUGACAGAGUGAAAACAGGUUUUUAUAAUUUUUUUGCAAUUUUAUUAAAAAAUAAAAAACAGAAAUACCUUAUUUACAUAAGUAUUCAGACCCUUUGUUAUGAGACUCUAAAUUGAGCUCAGGUGCAUCCUGUUUCCAUUGAUCAUCAUUGAGAUGAUUCUACAACUUGAUUGGAGUCCACCUGUGGUAAAUUUAAUUGAUUUUGACAUGAUUUGCCAAGGCGUGUACCUGUCUGUAUAAAUGUCAGAGCAAAAACCAAAGUUUCCCCCCAGUCUACAGGGUUUGAUCUAUAUAUAUAUACAAUGGGGCAAAAAAGUAUUUAGUCAGCCACCAAUUGUGCAAGUUCUCCCACUUAAAAAGAUGAGAGAGGCCUGUAAUUUACAUCAUAGGUACACUUCAACUAUAAAUAAAUACAUACUUAUUUUCCACCAUAAUCUGCAAAUAAAUUCAUUAAAAAUCCUACAAUGUGAUUUUCUGGAUUUUUUUUCCCUCAUUUUGUCUGUCAUAGUUGAAGUGUAACUAUGAUGACA